CGGGGCAGCCUCUGGGGCUGAAAACAGAAAUGAGAUGGGUGGGGAGUGAAUCUGGAGGAGCCAGUACCUAUUAUCUGGCACCCGUGGAUUUCCAAAGCACAAUAGGACCUCCUUCUACUUACCCUUCUAAUCAACCUAAUUACGUCUCAUCUCCCCUAGGUUUUUCUUAAACAUGGCUGUCUCACAAGGCUUCACGUCUCAGGACUCCCUCCACACUUCCUGCUGCCUCCCUCUUUUACCUAUGGGUUUAAUUCUCACCAUAGUGCCUGGUUCCUAGGAAUGUAGCCCCAGCUUCAAGCUAAUCCAACUGCCUGCUGAGUAACUUGACCCAGAGGGCCACUGAUACUAUAAAAUCAAUAGGUCCCCAAACAAAUCCAUAACCUUCCAUUACCACAACUCCAAACUGGCUCCUCCUCCUAACUUACACUACUUCUGUUAAUAGGACCAUCAUUCUCCCAAUUAUCAAUUACUCUAAGCUCAGUCACGCUUAUCUGUCCUCUCCUUCUUCUCCUUCUCCUUCUCCUUCUCCUUCUCCUUCUUCCUCUUCCUCUUCUUCUUCUUCCCCUUCUCCUCCUUCUCUUCCUUCUCCUUCCUUUCCCCUCCAUUUGUUGCAAAGUCCUGUACCUUCUUCCAGUGUGCUUUUCUACUACAUGUUCAGUCUCAUGAUUGUCCUGGUUAUGGGCCUUUACUUCUUACUUAAACUGUUGUAAUAAGUUCCUAAAUGUAACCCUAGCUCCAAUCCACUCUGUACUCAUUCCAAUGCACAAAUAUUUAAGUGUGUUGCACCAAGUUGCCUCAUUGAUACAGCCAUAAUUGUUGUCCCUGUCCUCUUUGAAAUAGAACAUUGGAAGGCAGAGAAAUCUUCCAAAAGCAGUGUGUUUAGCACAUACCCCUCAUUUUGCAUAUGACAACCUGGGGCACAGAGAAACUGCUAGUCGGUAUAAUCUGUCCCGAAAUCCCAGUGCUCUGAAAAGCCAUUGAUGAUUCCUCUCACCCUUCUAAUUAGUACAGCAUAAAUUCUGCAGCCUGCCAUUCUAGGCGGUGCCUUCAACAUGUUCUCAACUCAUCUUUUUAGAUGCAACUACUCUAUAUAUAGCCAAUUCUCUACCUAAAGUCAACAUUCUGGAAUAUGACUUGCAAUUGGCCUCAUUAGUGUCUUUGCUCAUCCUUUCUCCAACUUGAAUUGGCCUCCUCUCCCUUGCUUCCCAUGGUACCUGCUGAACAUCUAACCACCUUUCAGAGCAUAUGCCACGGCAUUCUUCCUUUGCAUCCUCUUUCACAAAGUUAUUUACAACGCUGUUCUGAAAUUUCCCCAACCAGACGUGAUCGUUCUCUUUUUUAAAUCUCUAAAAAACUUUCAGCACUGUUAUUUUACCCAGACCUUUCAAGUAUUUGCUUGUUGUAAUUUGGAUGCUUGUCCUAAGCCAUAAGCUUCUUCUAAGCAUGGCCUAUGCCAUUUUCUUCAACUGUGUAUCUCCUGUGGUAUUAAUGCAGUGCAUUUUGCAGAAAUAUUUUUAAUUCCAUAACUAUUUUUAAAUUUUGCCUUCUGAUACUUUUUUUUUCUUUAGAAAGAACUGACUCUGCCCAUACAUCUCCAACAUAACUGUGUUUCACGUGUAUUCCUCUUAGGAGGAAUGAAGUUUCGUUGUUAUUGUUGGUCUCUUGUCUACUAAGAUGAAGGUGCCCACCGAGCAUGUUUCAUUCCCCUGGUGCCUACCACUCUCCUUGUCGAAUUGGUGGGAGAGAAAGGUUCAAAAGACUGAAUUACAGUUAAAAAUGAGUGUUAUACAAACAAGGCGCUCUGUGUGCAAACAACAAAUCCAAGAUUUCACUGCAGAGCAGGGAGCCUCCUCUUUUACAGAAAGAAGCAUUUAACUGUUCAGAAUGUUCCACGUCUCCACCGAUAGGCUCAAGGCUCACCGACCCCACGGAAGUGCAGAGUGUUGCGCAAAUGUUUUUAAGUUAGUAAUGAUCUCUCCUCAGUUGUAUCUCACCAGCUAUGAUCACCACGGUGCAAACCCACCGUUAUAAUUUGGUCAGACCUCCUCUGCAUCCCUUCACCGAAUAAAGUGUCCACCUUACGCUCUUCCUUUUUGACGGUCCACACAAAUUGUCUGAAACCUGGGUAUGCAUCCUGCUCCCACUCCAUCUUCUCUUAACUGCUUCAUCUGAAUGCAUUUAAUGACCGAGAGCAGGCUUACAACAACAUGGCCGUCGUCAUCAAGAAACAUCUUCAGACACAUAAUGGAUUCUAGACCGAAUAUUUUUAAAUGUAGAAGCUUCAGAGUAAGAGCUCCCAAUUUUUCAGCGUCUACUGGGGGCCAAGCGCAUGCCAAGCACCGCACUUACCUUCUUCUUAAUCUUG